AGGAAAACAAGUUAACAGAGAUAUCUGAAAAUCUCUUUUUAUCAUGGACCAUGCUUACUGAAUUCAAUGCAUUAAAAAACGUGUUGAAUGGCAUACCAGACAGCAUUGGAGGCCUUUCAUGUCUAAUUCAUCUUGAUCUCCACCAGAACAAUGAGCUCUUUGAACAAGGGGUCAAUGGUUUUCUGUUUCUCCUUUCUUCAUCUUGUCUAAAAUCUAGCAUGUCUGUGUUGUGCAGGAAUCUCAUCAAUUCCUUCAUUAAUCAUGGGUUGUCAUUCACUUGCCGAGAUUUAUUUGGGACCUUAUUUAGUAAUAACAACCUUUCUACAGUACCUAUGGAGAUUGGGGCACUUUCUCAUCUAGGGACUUUAGAUCUUCACUCUAACCAAGUAGCUAGGAUUGAAAGGCUGAAGGAGUAUCCAGUAGAGGCAUGCAAAUUGAAUCUUCUUGUGUUGGAUCUUUCAAACAAUUCACUGAGUGGGUUACCCGCUGAAAUUGGUAAGAUGACCACCUUGAGGAAACUUUUGCUUACUGAAAAUCCUUUGCAGACUCUCCGAAUGUACAGAAAAAGGAUUGGUGCUUUAUAUAGUCAGUAUAUGUAUUUUAAAUUGUUUUCAACUAUUUCUUUUUCUCACAUCUCAUUAGUCACUGGACCUACACAAGCAUUACUCAAAUAUCUCCGAAGUAGACUUUUUGAAG